rnacentral:ncRNA from 1 species
AAUCGAAAAAGGCUACUCAAGGGAAACCUUGAUGAGUGCGCAAAACCAUGGAACUAAAAAGGCAAGUUAAAAUAAAAAGUAUAAAUUAAAAUUAAAAAAAAGACUUUAUUUUAACUUUUGACUUUUAAUUUGAUGUUUUGCCUUCAGUUGGCCAGGUUGCCGAA